CCUACGGGUGGCUGCAGUGCGGAAUCUUGGACAAUGGGCGCGAGCCUGAACCAGCCACGUAGCGUGAAGGAUGACUGCUCUACGGGUUGUAAACUCCUUUUAUAAUGGAAUAAAGUGAGGCACGUGUGCCUCUUUGUUUGUACUUUAUGAAUAUGGAUAGGCUCACUCAGUGCCAGCAGCCGCGGUAAUACGGAGGAUCCGUGCGUUAUCCGGAUUUAUUGGGUUUAAAGGGAGCGUAGAUGGGUUGUUAAGUCAGUUGUGAAAGUUUGCGGCUCAACCGUAAAAUUGCAAUUGAUACUGGCAGACUUGAGUGCAGUUGAGGUAGGCGGAAUUCGUGGUGUAGCGGUGAAAUGCGUAGAUAUCACGAAGAACUCCGAUUGCGAAGGCAGCUUACUAAACUGCCACUGACACUGAUGCUCGAAAGUGUGGGUAUCAAACAGGAUUAGAUACCCGUGUAGUC
rnacentral:rRNA from 1 species